UUUUUUUUUAAUGUGGUGCUGAGGAUAGAACCCAGUGCCUCCUACAUGCCAGGGGAGCAUUCCACCACUGAACUACAACCCCACCUAAGAUCCUGUCUUUUUUUUUUAACAGGGAGAGAGAGAGACAGAGACAGAGACACACACAAAGAGAGAAAAUUUUAAUUUUUUUUUCUUUUUUAAUUUUCAGCGGACACAACAUCUUUGUUUGUGUGUGGUGCUGAGGAUCGAACCCAAGCCACACGCAUGCCAGGCAAAUGCACUACCGCUUGAGCCACUUCUCCAGCCCAGAGAUCCUGUCUUAAUAUUAAAAAAAAUAGAAAAGACUGGGAAUAUAGCUCAGUGGUAGAGCACUCCUAGGUUCAAUCCCCAGUACUGCAAAAGAAAAAAAGUAGAUCAGAUUUUGUUGUUGUUGUUGUUGAAUUGCAGGAGUUCUUUAUAUAUUCUGGAUAUUAGCCUGUUAUUAGAUAUAUGAUUUGCAAAUUUUCUCCAGUUCCAUGGGGUUACAUUUUUACUCUGUGGACAGUGUCCUACGAUGUAUCAGAGUUUUUCAUUUUGAUGAAGUUCAGGUUCUCUAUUUUUUUCUCUUGUGGCUUGUGCUUUUGGUGUCAUAGCCAACGAAUCAUUGUGAAAUGUCAUGAAGUUUUCCCCUUGUGUUUCCUUCUAAGAGUUUAUAGUUUAACUCUUAUGUUUAGGAUCCUGAUUCAUUUUGAGUCAAUGUCUGUAUCUAUGGUACCUGGGAGGCAUCCCCCUUCAUUCUUUAGCAUGUGGAUAGCCAGUUUCCCCAACACUAUUUGUUGGCAUCCUUGGGUCAAAAACCAUUAAUCACAUAGGCAAGGGCAACCAAUUUUAUUUUCAACCUAGAAAACUAUUUCUAACAUUCCCUUUGGAAUGCCUAUAAAUACCCAGUCUCUUUGAUCCAGCUUUCCUAUCUUAUUGGUCCCCUCAUGCAUGAGUCACUGAGUCUUUGCCUGCAUCCAUUCUAUAUAUAUAUACAUAUGGAGAAGAAUCGUGUGUUUAAGUUCUUGAGACUUAUGCUUUGACAGUAAUGUACAAAGUGCUAUGGGGGCAGAGCGAAAGUCAGUCCUCGUUGGGGGAUGCAACACACUUGGUCCCUUUUGAGAUCAGCCUCAUGAUGAGUGCAUGAAAUCCUGGUAGGGAGCAAUGGUGGUUUGGAGCAGACGUUUCAGACUCUGGGGAUGGCAGGAAACCCUUCUCCUCCCCCUUUGCUUCCAUUGUGUGCCUUUCCCAGCAGCCAACACAGAUGUGAUGUGUCCACGUGAAAAAGCCCAGGAUAAAGCUCCUGGCUGCCUCCCCCACCGUUCCCUUCAGGUCCUGCACGAGAGGUCCCCGCUCCAGCCCUGGGUUGCCACCCCUCACAGCCCAUGCUGCCCCUUCUCCUACCCGAGGAGAGUCUGGGCCUUUCCAUCAACACCUCCUGUCAUCUCCGGUUCUGCCUUAACCAGGGAAUCGAACUUCCUGGCUGUCUCCACCCACCACAGAGGGCAGCUGUGAAAUAUCUCCCUGACAGACUCUAAAUGUUACCAGCAUCAGUCAGAGGGAUAAACAGCAAGAAAGCCCGACACAGAGCAGCCAGCUCUGUCAGAGUGAAAGUGAUAUUCAUUAGGAAACCUGCUUCUGGCUGCAGAGGAUGAGACCUGCAGCCUUGGAGUGACCUUGACAUUAGACCCAGUUAGGGCUCUUCACCAUGGAUGGGGCUUCUGCCCCUGGCUGGUACAUAGGGUUGGGAUUUAACACUGAGAUUCAUGCAUUCUGAGCAUCCCAGGGGUGCACUUCCUUUGGAAGUUCUAUCAUUGUGUCCCCAAGCCUUCCUAACUCACAGCCAUGGCAUUUCUGAUGUUCUCCCUGUGGCCCACACCACGGCUGGGCAGAUACUGGAUGACCUGGUUUCUGACUGACCAAGAGAUCCUCGGGGCCUCACUUCUCCACUUCAAGUUCAUUCGCAGAAGUAGCCAGGAGGUUCUCAGCAUUCUAAGCCCUGCAUGCUGAUGUCACCUGUGCUGUUGGGACCUUUGCCUUCGGCUUACCAACCCCAACCCUCCUUGAGCCUCGGUUGUCCAGAACCUUGACUGAGGCCUCAGGCCCUCCAUCCCCUAGCUGUGCCCAGCCUCUAGACAACUAGUAAAGGGCAGGUCCCCUUUGGAGUCAGCAGGGAUCCCUGAGGGAUUGGCCCUUUGGCCAAUGAGUGGGGUGGAGAGAAGGGACAGUGGUCUUCAAGCAGGAAUGCCCAGGCUACUUUGGGGGCUGAGGCACCGGCAUUGCUUGGGGUCAGCUAGUAUGCAUUUGAUCUCACCCUUCACUGGUUGGGUAGCCUUGGGCAAGUCAACCACCUGAAGCUCAGUUUCCAUAUGUGUAAAGUGGCACAAAGAACAGCACCUAACUCACUUAUCAUUUUAGGUCUCUGGAUAAUAAGUAUGGUAACGUGCCACAUAAUCAUGUUCCAGUCAACCACAGCCCUAAUAUACCACUGUGGCCCAACAAGAUUAUAACAGAGCUGAAAAUUUUCUAUCACCUUGUGACAUUAUAGACAUCAUAACCAUCUUUUUUUUUUUUUUUUGUACUAGGAAUUGAACCCAUGGGCACUUAACCACUGAAACAAAUCCCCAGUCCUUUUUAUUUUGAGACAGAAUCUCACUAAGUUACUUAGUGCCUCAUUAUGUUGGCAAGGUUGGCUUUGAACUUGCGAUCCUCCUGUCUCAGCCUCCGGAGUCACCAGGAUUACAGGUGUGCACCAAUCUUAACAUCCUAGCACAAAGCAUUACUCACAUGUUUGGGACAAUGCUGGUAAAUAGGCCUGCCUGCUAUACUGCCCGUUAUAUGAAGAACAGCACGUACGCACAGUUAUGCGUUGGACUUAAUACUUGGUAAUAAACGGAUGUUUACUGGUUUAUGUAUUUCCUAUUAUUUCUAUCUUUGUUUUAGUGUGUUCUCUUUCUAUUUAUAAAAAGAAAAAAAUAGUUUAUUUUGCAACUCUGCUAUGGUUUCCUAGCAGCAGUCUCAUGCGGCUUAUGUUUACCUGAGUCUUUGUGUAUGCGUG
rnacentral:lncRNA from 1 species